rnacentral:rRNA from 1 species
UACGAAGGGGGCUAGCGUUGCUCGGAAUGCCUGGGCGUAAAGGGCGCGUGGGCGGUUUUGACAGUCAGACGUGAAAUUCCUGGGCUCAACCUGGGGGCUGCGUUUGAUACGUCGGGACUGGAGUGCGGAAGAGGGUCGUGGAAUUACCAGUGUAGAGGUGAAAUUCGUAGAUAUUGGGAAGAACACCGGUGGCGAAGGCGGCGACCUGGUCCGUGACUGACGCUGAGGCGCGAAAGCGUGGGGAGCAAAUAGG